GGAGUUGUGCCUGAAACAAAGGGUCACUUUGAUAGAGUGAAUCAUGAAGGAUAAAACCCCUCCACCUCCU
rnacentral:tRNA from 6 species